AUGUUUCUGUGUGCAUGCAGAUGUGUGUGUGUUACUGACUUUCUCUGUUGCUUUUUCAGGAUUCAGCCAAACAUGAAGCUCCUUGUCUUUGCCUGUAUCAUGGCCCUCAUGGUUUCCAUGAUUAAAGCUGAUUUUUCAUCUGAAGAGAGGCCUAAUGGUUUUAGGAUCAGACACAAUAGACAUCGUCACCAUCAUCAAAGAUAUAUACAAGAGCCAUCAUAUCCACAAAAUGCUCCAAUUGACUAUCCAAAUAAUCCAAAUGGCUAUGGCUAUCCAAAUGGUCCUUACCCUCCUGCUCAGUAACCAUAAGACAUGGCAUCACAGGUAUGACUGGAAAGUCUGAUUUCUACUUGUGUUUCCUUCAUGUCUCAUGUUACAUCUUACUAUCCCUUUGUUUGGAAGAAUCAUCAAGAGGACAAUUAGGAACAGAAGAAGGACUCUAGUUUAGUAUAAUCUCUGUGUUUCUUCACACUUGCCUUCCCAGUUGAUGACUGGUAACAAGACUGCGAUUUCAAACUAUUCUGCUUUUUUCACUGCUAUUGUAAUGUCAUAGAAAUCCUUUUUACUGGCAAUAAAUCAUGUGCAUUCUCAUUUACA
ensembl:lncRNA